rnacentral:rRNA from 1 species
AAGACCUUGCGCUUUUGGAGCGGCCGAUGCGUGAUUAGCUUGUUGGUAAGGUAAAAGCUUACCAAGGCUUCGAUCAGUAGCUGGUCUGAGAGGACGACCAGCCACACUGGGACUGAGACACGGCCCAGACUCCUACGGGAGGCAGCAGUGGGGAAUUUUGGACAAUGGGGGCAACCCUGAUCCAGCCAUGCCGCGUGAGUGAAGAAGGCCUUCGGGUUGUAAAGCUCUUUCAGCCGGAACGAAACGGUUACGGAUAACACCCGUGACUACUGACGGUACCGGAAGAAGAAGCACCGGCUAACUACGUGCCAGCAGCCGCGGUAAUACGUAGGGUGCGAGCGUUAAUCGGAAUUACUGGGCGUAAAGCGUGCGCAGGUGGUUUUGUAAGUCAGAUGUGAAAGCCCCGGGCUCAACCUGGGAACU